rnacentral:rRNA from 1 species
AACGCUAGCUACAGGCUUAACACAUGCAAGUCGCGGGGUAACAUCUGGGAGAGCUUGCUCUUCCAGGAUGACGACCGGCGCACGGGUGAGUAACGCGUAUCCAACCUGGCCCAUACCACGGGAUAGCCCGUCGAAAGGCGGAUUAAUACCGUAUGCUGUCAUCAAGAUGCAUAUAUUGAUGACGAAAGGACUGGCGGUAUGGGAUGGGGAUGCGUCUGAUUAGCUUGUUGGCGGGGUAACGGCCCACCAAGGCGACGAUCANNAGGGGUUCUGAGAGGAAGGUCCCCCACAUUGGAACUGAGACACGGUCCAAACUCCUACGGGAGGCAGCAGUGAGGAAUAUUGGUCAAUGGGCGCAAGCCUGAACCAGCCAAGUAGCGUGAGGGAAGACUGCCCUACGGGUUGUAAACCUCUUUUGUUUGGGAAUAAAGUGCGGGACGUGUCCCGCAUUGCAUGUACCAUUUGAAUAAGGACCGGCUAAUUCCGUGCCAGCAGCCGCGGUAAUACGGAAGGUCCGGGCGUUAUCCGGAUUUAUUGGGUUUAAAGGGAGCGCAGGCCGUGGGUUAAGCGUGUCGUGAAAUUCCGUCGCUCAACGGCGGACGUGCGGCGCGAACUGGUCCACUUGAGUACGCGGGACGUUGGCGGAAUUCGUGGUGUAGCGGUGAAAUGCUUAGAUAUCACGAAGAACUCCGAUUG